UACCAGCACCCCGAGUGGUCGGGACGUUUUUAUUGGGCCUAAAGCAUCCGUAGCCGGUUCUACAAGUCUUCCGUUAAAUCCACCUGCUUAACAGAUGGGCUGCGGAAGAUACUAUGGAGCUAGGAGGCGGGAGAGGCAAGCGGUACUCGAUGGGUAGGGGUAAAAUCCGUUGAUCCAUUGAAGACCACCAGUGGCGAAGGCGGCUUGCCAGAACGCGCUCGACGGUGAGGGAUGAAAGCUGGGGGAGCAAACCGG
rnacentral:rRNA from 1 species